rnacentral:tRNA from 1 species
UGGGGAGUGGUCUAACGGCAAGACGCGGGCCUUUGGAGCCCUGAGAUCCCGGUUCGAAUCCGGGCUCCCCAU